ACUCCUACGGGAGGCAGCAGUGGGGAAUUUUGGACAAUGGGCGAAAGCCUGAUCCAGCAAUGCCGCGUGUGUGAAGAAGGCCUUCGGGUUGUAAAGCACUUUUGUCCGGAAAGAAAUCCUUGGCUCUAAUACAGUCGGGGGAUGACGGUACCGGAAGAAUAAGCACCGGCUAACUACGUGCCAGCAGCCGCGGUAAUACGUAGGGUGCGAGCGUUAAUCGGAAUUACUGGGCGUAAAGCGUGCGCAGGCGGUUUGCUAAGACCGAUGUGAAAUCCCCGGGCUCAACCUGGGAACUGCAUUGGUGACUGGCAGGCUAGAGUAUGGCAGAGGGGGGUAGAAUUCCACGUGUAGCAGUGAAAUGCGUAGAGAUGUGGAGGAAUACCGAUGGCGAAGGCAGCCCCCUGGGCCAAUACUGACGCUCAUGCACGAAAGCGUGGGGAGCAAACAGGAUUAGAAACCCGGGUAGUCCC
rnacentral:rRNA from 1 species